GGAAGAUGUUGAGGCCAAGAGAGAUAGGACGACCAUGGGCCUCAUGCUGCCCAGGAAUAGCCCCGAUUACCCUGGCCCCCAGCUCCAUGCAGCCUGCAUGGCCAGGUUCCUUGUGAGACACCUGGGGGACUCCAAACAGCCGGAAUCCAUCUGCCCACUGGUCCGGAGACAGGGAUCCUCCGCCUCCUUCCAGGGUUGAUGGCUCAGGAGGCCUUCUCUGCAGGGGACCAGGACACAGGAAAGCCAGGAAGAGAUGAGCUGGGAAGGGAGCUGUUGGGGGCCAUUCUGGUUUUAAAAAUAAAGCAGGACUUUCGUUGCUUGUUAUAAAAGGAACACAUGCUCAUUUUCUGUGAUUUAGGAAAGCGCAGAAAAGUAAAAGGGAAAGAAGAACGUAGCCGCUGCCUAGCACCAGGGAAAAAAGGGCUGUAGUUUUUAGUGUCUG
rnacentral:lncRNA from 1 species